rnacentral:rRNA from 1 species
UGCGUAGGCGGGUUAGUAAGUUAGUGGUGAAAGCCUCCGGCUCAACCGGAGAACUGCCAUUAAUACUGCUAAUCUUGAGUAUAGUUGAAGUGGGCGGAAUGUAUCAUGUAGCGGUGAAAUGCUUAGAUAUGAUACAGAACACCGAUAGCGUAGGCAGCUUGCUAAACUAUAACUGACGCUCAGGCACGAAAGCGUGGGGAUCAAACAGGAUUAGAUACCCUGGUAGUCC